AGCUCAGCUACCUUCUUCGUUGCUCUGGUUGGCUGUAGCGAUAUCCUAUUGCGUGCAGAGGGACUUUGAAAGACAACUGUUUAUCCCACCCCUUUAAUUGGGC